rnacentral:rRNA from 1 species
CCCCACUAAAGUCGAACACCCUCAGAGCUGUUAUACGUUCCCGAGGGCAAGAAGCUCCACCACGAAAGUACUUUAUUUUCCCCGACCCCACGAAAGCUGUGACACAAACUGGGAUUAGAUACCCCACUAUGCUCAGCCAUAAACUUUGAUAGACCAUUACAACCCCUAUCCGCCCGGGUACUACGAGCACUAGCUUAAAACCCAAAGGACUUGGCGGUGCUUUAGAUCCACCUAGAGGAGCCUGUUCUAGAACCGAUAAUCCCCGUUUAACCUCACCCUCUCUUGUUCCUUCCCGCCUAUAUACCGCCGUCGUCAGCUUACCCUGUGAAGGGUUAAUAGUAAGCAAAAUCGGCAUAGCCCAAAACGACAGGUCGAGGUGUAGCAAAUGAGAGGGGAAGAAAUGGGCUACAUUUCCUGAACCCAGGACAUACGAACAAUGGACUGAAACGAACAUUUGAAGGAGGAUUUAGCAGUAAGCAGAAACUAGAGUGUUCCGCUGAAACCGGCCCUGAAGCGCGCACACACCGCCCGUCACUCUCCCCGAAAUACCUAAAAAUCUAUAUCAAUAAAGGGGAGGCAAGUCGUAACAUGGUAAGUGUACCGGNNGGUGCACUUGGAAAAAUCAGGGCUUAU